UAGCUUGCUACCAGGCGUCGAGCGGCGGACGGGUGAGUAAUACUUAGGAAUCUACCUAGUAGUGGGGGAUAGCACGGGGAAACUCGUAUUAAUACCGCAUACGACCUACGGGAGAAAGGGGGCAGUUUACUGCUCUCGCUAUUAGAUGAGCCUAAGUCGGAUUAGCUAGAUGGUGGGGUAAAGGCCUACCAUGGCGACGAUCUGUAGCUGGUCUGAGAGGAUGAUCAGCCACACCGGGACUGAGACACGGCCCGGACUCCUACGGGAGGCAGCAGUGGGGAAUAUUGGACAAUGGGGGAAACCCUGAUCCAGCCAUGCCGCGUGUGUGAAGAAGGCCUUUUGGUUGUAAAGCACUUUAAGCAGUGAAGAAGACUCCGUGGUUAAUACCCACGGACGAUGACAUUAGCUGCAGAAUAAGCACCGGCUAACUCUGUGCCAGCAGCCGCGGUAAUACAGAGGGUGCAAGCGUUAAUCGGAAUUACUGGGCGUAAAGCGAGCGUAGGUGGCUUGAUAAGUCAGAUGUGAAAUCCCCGGGCUUAACCUGGGAACUGCAUCUGAAACUGUUAGGCUAGAGUAGGUGAGAGGGAAGUAGAAUUUCAGGUGUAGCGGUGAAAUGCGUAGAGAUCUGAAGGAAUACCGAUGGCGAAGGCAGCUUCCUGGCAUCAUACUGACACUGAGGCUCGAAAGCGUGGGUAGCAAACAGGAUUAGAUACCCUGGUAGUCCACGCCGUAAACGAUGUCUACUAGUCGUUGGGUCCCUUGAGGACUUAGUGACGCAGCUAACGCAAUAAGUAGACCGCCUGGGGAGUACGGCCGCA
rnacentral:rRNA from 2 species